rnacentral:rRNA from 1 species
GAUGAACGCUGGCGGCGUGCCUAACACAUGCAAGUCGAACGAGACUGAUUAGAUUGAGAUUUCGGUUGAUUUCUAUGAAAGUCGAGUGGCGGACGGGUGAGUAACACGUGGGUAACCUGCCUUACAGAGGGGGAUAACAGUUUGAAAAGACUGCUAAUACCGCAUAAGCACACAGUACCGCAUGGUACGGGGUGAAAAGAUUUAUCGCUGUAAGAUGGACCCGCGUCUGAUUAGCUAGUUGGCAGGGUAACGGCCUACCAAGGCGACGAUCAGUAGCCGACCUGAGAGGGUGAUCGGCCACAUUGGGACUGAGACACGGCCCAA